AACACAUGCCUGCUAACGAGGUUAAGGCACAGCUCAAUUGACCGUGCCGUAGAGGUCGCAUUGUAAUUUGUACGAGGAUGCUUUGGGUGAAACGCCAGUCUAGAGAUUCCUUGGAACAGGACGUCAUAGAGGGUGAGAAUCCCGUAUGUGACUGGAAAUGUUAACCUAUGUAAAGCUCCUUCGACGAGUCGAGUUGUUUGGGAAUGCAGCUCUAAAUGGGAGGUAAAUUUCUUCUAAAGCUAAAUAUUGGCGAGAGACCGAUAGCGCACAAGUAGAGUGAUCGACAAGAUGAAAAGCACUUUGGAAAGAGAGUUAAAAGCACGUGAAAUUGUUGAAAGGGAAGCGCUUGCAAUCAGACUUGUUUAAACUGUUCGGCCGGUCUUCUGACCGGUUUAACUCAGUUUUGUGACAGUGCCAGCAUCAGUUA
rnacentral:rRNA from 1 species